GCCGUAGCUCAGUGGCAGAGCAUCUAUUUUGCAUGCAGAAGGUCACAGGUUCAAUCCCUGGCAUCUCCA